rnacentral:sRNA from 1 species
UCACAAGGUCAGCAAUCGCAGGCGGCGG